GAUGAACGCUGGCGGCGUGCCUAAUACAUGCAAGUCGAGCGAACAGACGAGGAGCUUGCUCCUCUGACGUUAGCGGCGGACGGGUGAGUAACACGUGGAUAACCUACCUAUAAGACUGGGAUAACUUCGGGAAACCGGAGCUAAUACCGGAUAAUAUAUUGAACCGGAUGGUUCAAUAGUGAAAGACGGUUUUGCUGUCACUUAUAGAUGGAUCCGCGCCGCAUUAGCUAGUUGGUAAGGUAACGGCUUACCAAGGCAACGAUGCGUAGCCGACCUGAGAGGGUGAUCGGCCACACUGGAACUGAGACACGGUCCAGACUCCUACGGGAGGCAGCAGUAGGGAAUCUUCCGCAAUGGGCGAAAGCCUGACGGAGCAACGCCGUGUGAGUGAUGAAGGUCUUCGGAUCGUAAAACUCUGUUAUUAGGGAAGAACAAAUGUGUAAGUAACUAUGCACGUCUUGACGGUACCUAAUCAGAAAGCCACGGCUAACUACGUG
rnacentral:rRNA from 1 species